rnacentral:ncRNA from 1 species
AUAAAGUUUGAUUCUUGCUUUUUAUUUAAUUAAUAGGUAUUAUUGCAUGUAAAUUUUUGUUAGUAUUUUUGUUCUUAAUGAUUAAUUUUUUAUUUUCAGUAUUUUAUAUUUUUAUUUUAAUAAUUUAAUUAAAGAUAAUCUUUUAAAAUUGAAUAAUGUUGUGCCAGCAUUCGCGGUUAUACUUCAGAUUUAGGUUAAAUUUUUUAGUUUUCAGAUUUUUUUUUUUUUUAUAUAUUUAGGUUAAAUUUAUAUAUAAUUAAGUUUAUUUAGUCUGUCAAAUCUUGUUUAUAGACCAGGAUUAGAUACCCUGUUAUUCAAAAUUAUAUUAAUUAGCUUGGGAAUUAGGUUAAGUUUGAAAUUCAAUGGAUCUGGCGGUUUUUUAAUCUUUUUAGAGGAACCUGAAUUUUAAAUGAUAGUCCACGAUUAAUUUUACCUAGUAUUUCUUGUAUAUCUCUGUCGUUGAAUGUAAUAAAAAUUUAUUUUCUUUUUUUUUUAUUGAAUUUAUGUUAGGUCAAGGUGCAGUUAUAACUAGGUAAAUUUGGGUUACUUUAAUUUUAGUUUUUUGAUUAAUUUUUUUAUGGGGAUUAUGAAUUUGGAUUUAAAAGUAAUUUUUUUUAUUAAAUAUUUUGAAUUUAGCUCUAAAUUAUGUACAUAUCGCCCGUCAUUCUCACAUAGUGAGACAAGUCGUAACAAAGUAGAUGUAUCUGAAGAUGUAUCUAGAAUCAG